UACGUAGGGGGCUAGCGUUGUCCGGAUUUAUUGGGCGUAAAGAGCGUGUAGGCGGCCAGGUAGGUCUGCUGUGAAAACUCGAGGCUCAACCUCGAGACGUCGGCGGAAACCAUCUGGCUAGAGUCCGGAAGAGGAGAGUGGAAUUCCUGGUGUAGCGGUGAAAUGCGUAGAUAUCGGGAGGAACAUCAGUGGCGAAGGCGGCUACCUGGCCCAAUACUGACACUCAGGUGCGACAGCGUGGGGGAGCAAACAGG
rnacentral:rRNA from 1 species